rnacentral:rRNA from 1 species
AUGAACGCUGGCGGCGUGCCUAAUACAUGCCCGUCGAGCGAACGGACGAGAAGCUUGCUUCUCUGAUGUUAGCGGCGGACGGGUGAGUAACACGUGGAUAACCUACCUAUAAGACUGGGAUAACUUCGGGAAACCGGAGCUAAUACCGGAUGAUAUUUUGAACCGCAUGGUUCAAAAGUGAAAGACGGUCUUGCUGUCACUUAUAGAUGGAUCCGCGCUGCAUUAGCUAGUUGGUAAGGUAACGGCUUACCAAGGCAACGAUGCAUAGCCGACCUGAGAGGGUGAUCGGCCACACUGGAACUGAGACACGGUCCAGACUCCUACGGGAGGCAGCAGUAGGGAAUCUUCCGCAAUGGGCGAAAGCCUGACGGAGCAACGCCGCGUGAGUGAUGAAGGUCUUCGGAUCGUAAAACUCUGUUAUUAGGGAAGAACAUAUGUGUAAGUAACUGUGCACAUCUUGACGGUACCUAAUCAGAAAGCCACGGCUAACUACGUG